AACGAACGCUGGCGGCGUGCCUCAGACAUGCAAGUCGAACGAUUAAAGCUCUCUUCGGAGAGUGUAUAGAGUGGCGCACGGGUGAGUAACACGUAAGUAAUCUACCUUUGAGUGGGGAAUAACAUCGGGAAACCGAAGAUAAUACCGCGUAAUGCAGCGGCACCGCAAGGUGACAGUUGUUAAAGGAGCAAUCCGCUUGAAGAGGAGUUUGCGGCAGAUUAGCUAGUUGGUAAGGUAAUGGCUUACCAAGGCUACGAUCUGUAUCCGGUCUAAGAGGACGGUCGGACACACUGACACUGAAUAACGGGUCAGACUCCUACGGGAGGCAGCAGUCGGGAAUUUUGGGCAAUGGGCGAAAGCCUGACCCAGCAACGCCGCGUGAAGGAUGAAGUAUUUCGGUAUGUAAACUUCGAAAGAAUGGGAAGAAUAAAUGACGGUACCAUUUAUAAGGUCCGGCUAACUACGUGCCAGCAGCCGCGGUAAU
rnacentral:rRNA from 1 species